AGAGUUUGAUCCUGGCUCAGAUUGAACGCUUGCGGCAUGCUUUACACAUGCAAGUCGGACGGCAGCACAGAGAAGCUUGCUUCUUGGGUGGCGAGUGGCGAACGGGUGAGUAACAUAUCGGAACGUACCGAGUAAUGGGGGAUAACUAAUCGAAAGAUUAGCUAAUACCGCAUAUUCUCUGAGGAGGAAAGCAGGGGACCUUCGGGCCUUGCGUUAUUCGAGCGGCCGAUAUCUGAUUAGCUAGUUGGUGGGGUAAAGGCCUACCAAGGCGACGAUCAGUAGCGGGUCUGAGAGGAUGAUCCGCCACACUGGGACUGAGACACGGCCCAGACUCCUACGGGAGGCAGCAGUGGGGAAUUUUGGACAAUGGGCGCAAGCCUGAUCCAGCCAUGCCGCGUGUCUGAAGAAGGCCUUCGGGUUGUAAAGGACUUUUGUCAGGGAAGAAAAGGCUGUUGCUAAUAUCGACAGUUGAUGACGGUACCUGAAGAAUAAGCACCGGCUAACUACGUGCCAGCAGCCGCGGUAAUACGUAGGGUGCGAGCGUUAAUCGGAAUUACUGGGCGUAAAGCGAGCGCAGACGGUUACUUAAGCAGGAUGUGAAAUCCCCGGGCUCAACCUGGGAACUGCGUUCUGAACUGGGUGACUAGAGUGUGUCAGAGGGAGGUAGAAUUCCACGUGUAGCAGUGAAAUGCGUAGAGAUGUGGAGGAAUACCGAUGGCGAAGGCAGCCUCCUGGGAUAACACUGACGUUCAUGCUCGAAAGCGUGGGUAGCAAACAGGAUUAGAUACCCUGGUAGUCCACGCCCUAA
rnacentral:rRNA from 1 species